UUUCGGUGGUAAUGCUGUAAGGCGUUCAAUGUUAAAGAAGAAGAAUCAUCAAGAGAGACAAAUCCUGGAUUGUCAGAAUUUAUAAGCCAGAAUCAGAAAUUUCGACAACAAUGUAGUCCUUCCUCAGUGUAUAAUAUGGCGGGGGAUAGAUCAGCAUAUCUGUGUGUUAUACAUCAUUAUAAUUUAGUCAAUAAUUUAAUCAUAUAAAGGAAGUAAGUCAAUCAGUAAUCAUGGAUUCAUUUACACUUGCAGAUUCUACUUCCUUACCUCUUAUUGUUGGUCUUUCGGUGCUUGGCGUGUUUAUUCUCACCAUUUCUAUUGUUCUCAUCUAUUGUGGAUGUAGCAAGAAAAAGAAACAAGUUAAAUUUCAACCAAUGACGGAACUUCAAGAAAGUGGAAAGAGUGCGGGUAAUUAAAAAGAAAACAUCUACAAAACCAUAACCGGUAAAUAGGCUUCAGCAUCAAUAGCCUUUAUUUUUCAUUUCAUGUAGGUAGUCUAAUUUAUAAACUUACUAAUAUUGCAUGAGUCGAUAUCACUUUAUUAUAUUAGUACUGUUGUUAUGGAAAAUGGGCUGUAUAGUCAUAAAAUGAAUAUGAAUUUGUAGAUUUGUACUCAUAAUAAUUUUAUUUAACUAUUGUGAGGAAACUUUUGUACAAUUCGAUCUUAUAUAUGAUUAUGUUAUUUAUUAGUUAUUAGUUUAAUGUUUUGACAUUGUUAUCAACAAUUUGAGAAAAAAAUGAUAAAAUAAUUGUGUAGUAACUCCACAACAGAGAAACAAAUUAAUAAUAUUGAGUUCUAUGAAAUUAAUUACCAAACAAGUAAAAGCGAUUUUUUACCUGAGCUGAUUGUCAAAUAAUUAUUAUAAGAUAUGAUAUCUGCAAAAAAAAAAAAAAAAAAAAAAAGCUUACUAAAAACAAAGUUACAGUACCUAAUUUAAUGAGUUGUUUGCCAAAAUCGACUAAUUAUUGUUUUUUUUUUUUAGUUAAUCGUUUCAUACUUUAAUGAUCACGUUGACACGGAUUAAUGUACUGCUUUAGUAUUUGUUAUAUUUAGAAUACGGUAUUGAUUUAAAAGAGUUUUAACUUUUCAGGCGGCCCUUUUUGAAUAUUUAGACACAUUGUUAAAAUAUAUGUAAAAUGUAACAAUUGUAGUCUAGGAUAAUUCAAUGCAAAGAAAUGUUGUGUUAACAGUUUUAUAGCCUAGGUUUUUACAUUUUUAUCUAACAUUUUUUUGAUAUUGAAUAAACUAGUACUUGCUUUAUAUGUCACUUAGCUAAACGUAAUCUAAGAGCUGAAUAUUUUAUUAUCUUUCAAUGCUAUUUGCCUAACAUUAUCUGUGGAUUGUAUGGCUAUUGAUUAAAAAGUAUAAAUUUCAAAUAAAAUUAAUGUAUAACUA